CCCUCUGCUACCCUGUCCCAGCUGGAAUGCUUUCCCAGCUUUGACUCACACAACAAACAGCUCCCAGUGAGUUAAUCAGGCAUGGGAAAACAGCUCUGGACCACUGGCUCCAUCACUUUAUGAGCUCUCAUUUUGGGACAAGCUGUGCCUGACCAGAGAGACAGGGCAUGCAGGCCUGGAGGUGGUGGUUAAAUAGAAUAGACUGAGGAAGAAGAUGCAAAAAGCUGGAAGAAGGGGGAUCCAAGUAGUGGUUGGUGGGAAACUGUCUGGAAAGGAUGAGGCCACAGCAAUGCUCCAUGCUCUCCUGCAGAUCCACACCUGCCUCACCAGGAGCUGAUGCGAGUCUGUUGCACAUCCUGGGCCAGGGCAGGUCCCAAGACAACCUCCUGGAGAAGAGUUUUGGAAGUCAGUCACAGCCAUGGGACAGCUCAGAUUCUAAAACCACCAGAGGCAAGGAGGAGUGGAGCUUUUCACCACAUAAAAACCAACAUGUUGCUCAUCCUCAGCGCUGCAAAGCUUCAGAACGUGACCCUGGCAUUCUCCACCGGUAGCAGAGCAGUUUUAUUUUCACUAGAAAUUCCCUCCCUUCUUCAUGCAGUCUCGAGGCUUUGGGGACCUGACAUCUGAUUCUGGAGUGCCACUUGUGCAGCGCAGCUGUUCCUCAGCCUCAUCCCAGGGCCCCACAGCAGCAGCUUCCCAAACAAACCCAGCUCAAAUAAAAAGGG